rnacentral:misc_RNA from 1 species
GAAAGCGCUCCUUCUCGUUCAAUCCGACGCCCCCGAUUCCAAGUUCCAAGGCGCCUGCGAAAUUCGCCGACUCACAAAAACCUCCCAACGCUGCCGCCGUCACCUCUCUCAAUCAAUCCCCCAUCUCGUCUCUAUGCUCCACCGACACCACUCCCCUGAGUCCCACCUUGAGGCUGCUCUCCUUGCUCUUCUCAACCUUGCCGUCAAAGAUGAAAAGUAAGUCCCUCUUAGAUCUCUUUCCCUUCUAAUAUGACUCGAUUUCUUUUCAUGCCU